CAGCUAUGCUUUCUAUCACUGUCAUAAACAUAAGUAGUCUUAGUGAUAAAAAACCAGAAAUUUAACAUAUUUUUUUUCAGUAGAACAACACCAGAAUACUAAGAAAAUUGUACCAGAGAAAAAGGACAUAAUUCUUCAACCUCAUGAAAUUUUAGCGUUAUAUGCUUCACAAGCUCAAGUAGCUAGAGGAGAAAUCAUUAGUUUGUCUGAAAUGUAUUGUUCAGGAAAUCGGCUUUACUUAGUUGUGGAUACCACUCUUCCUCUCCGUGAAAGCUACAAGAAGAAAAGGAAUGCAAAACAAGAACAAAGAGAGAGAACCAAAUAUACAAGCAGUACUGAUGGUUCCAAAAAUAUCGGUGCUAAGAUUUCUGAUAGGAACCAUCAUGCGAUGCUAGAAAUUUCAUCAGAUAGCUUAGGCCUUACUCCUAACUGGUUGAAGAAAGAACUAGAAGGUCCAGUCAUACCAGAUAUGGCUGGUUUUUCACUUAAUGACCAGAAAGAGAUAG